AGUCUACUCAUAAAGUCGACAACGAAUGCCUUGGCGGUUUUGGCCUAGGAAGGACGUUUGCAUACCAGCGAUAUCGUCGGUGAGGCGGUCAGCAGCCUGCGAUCCGGCGGUUUCCGAAUGGGGUAACCCGUCCGAUGUUACAUCGGACAGGCAGCAGUAAAAGAUCCGAUUUAUCGGAUUGAUAGCUGUUGUCAGGGCACCGGGCGAACUGAAACAUCUAAGUAGCCCGAGGAAAAGAAAUCAUUUACGAGAUUCCGUCAGUAGCUGCGAGCGAAAUCGGAAGAGUCUAAACCCCGCUUUUGGCGGGGGGUUGCAGGGCUUCUAAUAUGGGAUGAAAAGAGGGUAACAGAACUGUCUGGAAUGGCAGACCAAAGAGAGUGAAAGUCUCGUACGUAAAACCUGAAUUUCCCCUAGGGAGUACCUAAGUACCACGAAGCACGGCAAAACUUCGUGGGAAUCUGGGUGGUCCACCAUCCAAGACUAAACACCAAAACCGACCG
rnacentral:ncRNA from 1 species